CUUCAGCUGCUUCCUCCACUGGAGCACCUGUGCACACCGGCCCCUCCUCCUCCCAGGAAUCACAAGAGCCGUGGUCACUUCUAACGGCCCUGAAGCACGAAAUUCAGAAAUCGAGCUCACAAGAUGACAUUAUGACGGAAGAUGCGUCACAAAGUGAAAUCUCCUUCAAUACAGACACUUCUCCAGAUGUAAAAUGGAGCACAACAUCGGAGGAUUUUACUUUUGUUGAAAGUGAAGAAAGAACAGAAUUAAAAUCCUCAGAAUCAAUAUCUGCUGUUCAGCCGGUCACUGAGGGUGCUCACACAGAGACGACCGCUGACCCCAGACGAGCUGUGAAGACUCUAAGUCUACGAAGACACUAUAGGAGCCUUCUUCGCAAGAGGCAGAUACCCGGGGCCAGUGGGAAAAUUUGUCCUGGAGUACGAGAAUCCUCGCAGCACGUUAGCCAAGUCAGAGACUCUUACCGCUGGGUCUUAAGCAUCCCGAGCAAGAACCUACGGAUGAACUUCCAAGAGGUGUUGGUUGAUCUGAGCUCCAAGAACGAUCGAGGACUUUAUCAGGCACGAGUCAGAGCAGCAGUGGGAGGACGACCUUUGACCUUCUACAGUCUGGUGGGCCUAGAGAUGGAGUCAUUCUACCGCAGUGUGCCAAGGAUCAUCGCUUUCGCACUGGAGGCACUCAAGACUUAACUUUAUAACAGCAACAAGCAAGAUGACAUGAACAAUAAAAACAGACUCACAUGAGCGAUGAGAGCACAAAGACUCAAAAAGAAGAGUUUGCACCAGAGAAGCCUCGUCACGGGACAGAGACUCAAACGUGACUUCUUCUGCCGUCUCCUGUGAAAAGCCUGUUUUUGUUUCCCCUGUCCGACAACCUGACUCUAAAUGAAAACACAACCAUGAAUGUAUCACUCCAACUGUUGCCGCCCGUCAUUUUGUUUUUUAACGCGGUUGUCUAACUUAUGAAUCUGUAUAAAAUGAUAAGUUAUUUGUCUUGUGCAAAGGUUGAGCCUCUUGUGAAGCACACAGACUGUAUAUAUUAUUCUUACAAUAUUUAUUUGUAUCGAUGAAAAGUAUUUGUAUUUAAAAAUAAAAUAAAAAUAAACUAUAUAUAAAUAAAAUUGUAAUUAAUUCUA